AUACGUAGGUGGCAAGCGUUGUCCGGAAUUAUUGGGCGUAAAGCGCGCGCAGGUGGUUCCUUAAGUCUGAUGUGAAAGCCCCCGGCUCAACCGGGGAGGGUCAUUGGAAACUGGGGAACUUGAGUGCAGAAGAGGAUAGUGGAAUUCCAAGUGUAGCGGUGAAAUGCGUAGAGAUUUGGAGGAACAUCAGUGGCGAAGGCGACUGUCUGGUCUGUACAUGACACUGAGGCGCGAAAGCGUGGGGAGAAAACAGGAUUAGAUCCCCUGGUAGUCCACGCCGUAAACGAUGAGUGCUAAGUGUUGGGGGGUUUCCGCCCCUCAGUGCUGCAGCUAACGCAUUAAGCACUCCGCCUGGGGAGUACGGUCGCAAGACUGAAACUCAAAUGAAUGGACGGGG
rnacentral:rRNA from 1 species